GAUGAACGCUGGCGGCGUGCUUAACACAUGCAAGUCGAACGAUGAAGCUCAGCUUGCUGGGUGGAUUAGUGGCGAACGGGUGAGUAACACGUGAGUAACCUGCCCUUAACUCUGGGAUAAGCCUGGGAAACUAGGUCUAAUACCGGAUAGGAGCGCCUACCGCAUGGUGGGUGUUGGAAAGAUUUAUCGGUUUUGGAUGGGCUCGCGGCCUAUCAGCUUGUUGGUGAGGUAAUGGCUCACCAAGGCGACGACGGGUAGCCGGCCUGAGAGGGUGACCGGCCACACUGGGACUGAGACACGGCCCAGACUCCUACGGGAGGCAGCAGUGGGGAAUAUUGCACAAUGGGCGAAAGCCUGAUGCAGCGACGCCGCGUGAGGGAUGACGGCCUUCGGGUUGUAAACCUCUUUCAGUAGGGAAGAAGCGAAAGUGACGGUACCUGCAGAAGAAGCACCGGCUAACUACGUG
rnacentral:rRNA from 1 species